UUGGGGCGGUCUUUGUCUUUUGGAGGUUGGAUUGGAGCAGAAGGAGACUCACAAGGGGAACGGUGGAGAUAUACUAGAAGAUCUGGAGCUCAGGAAGCAGAUUGGCAUGGAGCAUGUGGAGGAACAGGGAAACGAACCUCAGUAAUAACAAGUGCAUCGUAAUAAAUUAGGCUUGGAGACUGUAGACAGAUACCACAGAGGGCAAACAGGACAAAGAUCAGAUGAGGAACCAGGAGACACCACACUAGGAGAAACAUGGAAGACACUGCAG